GUGAACGCUGGCGGUUGGCCUAACACAUGCAAGUCGAACGGCAGCACAGUAAGCGCUUGCCCUUACGGGUGGCGAGUGGCGGACGGGUGAGGAAUACAUCGGAAUCUACUUUUUCGUGGGGGAUUACGUAGGGAAACUUACGCUAAUACCGCAUACGACCUACGGGUGAAAGCAGGGGAUCUUCGGACCUUGCGCGAUUGAAUGAGCCGAUGUCGGAUUAGCUAGUUGGCGGGGUAAAGGCCCACCAAGGCGACGAUCCGUAGCUGGUCUGAGAGGAUGAUCAGCCACACUGGAACUGAGACACGGUCCAGACUCCUACGGGAGGCAGCAGUGGGGAAUAUUGGACAAUGGGCGCAAGCCUGAUCCAGCCAUACCGCGUGGGUGAAGAAGGCCUUCGGGUUGUAAAGCCCCUUUGUUGGGAAAGAAAAGCAGCAGGUUAAUACCCCGCUGUUCUGACGGUACCCAAAGAAUAAGCACCGGCUAACUUCGUG
rnacentral:rRNA from 1 species